rnacentral:rRNA from 1 species
AUACGGAGGAUCCGAGCGUUAUCCGGAUUUAUUGGGUUUAAAGGGUGCGCAGGCGGCCAUUUAAGUCAGCGGUUAAAUCGUGGGGCUCAACCCCAUUCGGCCGUUGAUACUGGGUGGCUUGAUUGCGGUCGAGGUGGGCGGAAUUCGUGGGGUAGCGGGGAAAUGCAUAGAUAUGACGAAGAACACCGAUUGCGUAGGCAGCUGACCAGACCGCAAAUGACGCUCAUGCACGAAAGUGCGGGGAUCGAACAGGAUUAGAUACCCUGGUAGUCCGCACAGUAAACGAUGAAUACUUGUUUUCGGCGAUAUAAUGUCGGAGGCAAAGCGAAAGCGAUAAGUAUUCCACCUGGGGAGUACGCCGGCAACGGUGAAACUCAAAUGAAUUGACGGGG